rnacentral:rRNA from 1 species
GAUGAACGCUGGCGGCGUGCCUAAUACAUGCAAGUCGAGCGAACGGACGAGAAGCUUGCUUCUCUGAUGUUAGCGGCGGACGGGUGAGUAACACGUGGAUAACCUACCUAUAAGACCGGGAUAACUUCGGGAAACCGGAGCUAGUACCGGAUAAUAUUUUGAACCGCAUGGUUCAAAAGUGAAAGACGGUCUUGCUGUCACUUAUAGAUGGAUCCGCGCUGCAUUAGCUAGUUGGUAAGGUAACGGCUUACCAAGGCAACGAUGCAUAGCCGACCUGAGAGGGUGAUCGGCCACACUGGAACUGAGACACGGUCCAGACUCCUACGGGAGGCAGCAGUAGGGAAUCUUCCGCAAUGGGCGAAAGCCUGACGGAGCAACGCCGCGUGAGUGAUGAAGGUCUUCGGAUCGUAAAACUCUGUUAUUAGGGAAGAACAUAUGUGUAAGUAACUGUGCACAUCUUGACGGUACCUAAUCAGAAAGCCACGGCUAACUACGUGCCAGCAGCCGCGGUAAUACGUAGGUGGCAAGCGUUAUCCGGAAUUAUUGGGCGUAAAGCGCGCGUAGGCGGUUUUUUAAGUCUGAUGUGAAAGCCCACGGCUCAACCGUGGAGGGUCAUUGGAAACUGGAAAACUUGAGUGCAGAAGAGGAAAGUGGAAUUCCAUGUGUAGCGGUGAAAUGCGCAGAGAUAUGGAGGAACACCAGUGGCGAAGGCGACUUUCUGGUCUGUAACUGACGCUGAUGUGCGAAAGCGUGGGGAUCAAACAGGAUUAGAUACCCUGGUAGUCCACGCCGUAAACGAUGAGUGCUAAGUGUUAGGGGGUUUCCGCCCCUUAGUGCUGCAGCUAACGCAUUAAGCACUCCGCCUGGGGAGUACGACCGCAAGGUUGAAACUCAAUGGAAUUGACGGGGACCCGCACAAGCGGUGGAGCAUGUGGUUUAAUUCGAAGCAACGCGAAGAACCUUACCAAAUCUUGACAUCCUUUGACAACUCUAGAGAUAGAGCCUUCCCCUUCGGGGGACAAAGUGACAGGUGGUGCAUGGUUGUCGUCAGCUCGUGUCGUGAGAUGUUGGGUUAAGUCCCGCAACGAGCGCAACCCUUAAGCUUAGUUGCCAUCAUUAAGUUGGGCACUCUAAGUUGGCUGCCGGUGACAAACCGGAGGAGGGUGGGGAUGACGUCAAAUCAUCAUGCCCCUUAUGAUUUGGGCUACACACGUGCUACAAUGGACAAUACAAAGGGCAGCGAAACCGCGAGGUCAAGCAAAUCCCAUAAAGUUGUUCUCAGUUCGGAUUGUAGUCUGCAACUCGACUACAUGAAGCUGGAAUCGCUAGUAAUCGUAGAUCAGCAUGCUACGGUGAAUACGUUCCCGGGUCU